rnacentral:rRNA from 1 species
UACGUAGGGGGCGAGCGUUGUCCGGAAUCAUUGGGCGUAAAGAGCGUGUAGGCGGCUUGGAAAGUCUUACGUGAAAGCCUGCGGCUCAACCGCAGAAGUGCGUAGGAAACUUCCUCGCUAGAGUCCGGAAGAGGAGAGCGGAAUUCCUGGUGUAGCGGUGAAAUGCGCAGAUAUCAGGAGGAACACCGGUGGCGAAGGCGGGUCUCUGGGACGGUACUGACGCUGAGACGCGAAAGCGUGGGGAGCGAACAGG